UACAGAGGGUGCAAGCGUUAAUCGGAAUUACUGGGCGUAAAGCGCACGUAGGCGGCGUGAUAAGUUGGAUGUGAAAUCCCCGGGCUUAACUUGGGAAUUGCAUUCAAGACUGUCGUGCUAGAGUCUGGGAGAGAGAAGUGGAAUUCCAGGUGUAGCGGUGAAAUGCGUAGAUAUCUGGAGGAACAUCAGUGGCGAAGGCGGCUUCUUGGCCCAACACUGACGCUGAGGUGCGAAAGCGUGGGGAUCAAACAGG
rnacentral:rRNA from 1 species